ACUGCGAAGGGGGGACGGAGAAGGCUAUGUUGGCCGGGCGACGGUUGUCCCGGUUUAAGCGUGUAGGCUGGUUUUCCAGGCAAAUCCGGAAAAUCAAGGCUGAGGCGUGAUGACGAGGCACUACGGUGCUGAAGCAACAAAUGCCCUGCUUCCAGGAAAAGCCUCUAAGCAUCAGGUAACAUCAAAUCGUACCCCAAACCGACACAGGUGGUCAGGUAGAGAAUACCAAGGCGCUUGAGAGAACUCGGGUGAAGGAACUAGGCAAAAUGGUGCCGUAACUUCGGGAGAAGGCACGCUGAUAUGUAGGUGAAGUCCCUCGCGGAUGGAGCUGAAAUCAGUCGAAGAUACCAGCUGGCUGCAACUGUUUAUUAAAAACACAGCACUGUGCAAACACGAAAGUGGACGUAUACGGUGUGACGCCUGCCCGGUGCCGGAAGGUUAAUUGAUGGGGUUAGCGCAAGCGAAGCUCUUGAUCGAAGCCCCGGUAAACGGCGGCCGUAACUAUAACGGUCCUAAGGUAGCGAAAUUCCUUGUCGGGUAAGUUCCGACCUGCACGAAUGGCGUAAUGAUGGCCAGGCUGUCUCCACCCGAGACUCAGUGAAAUUGAACUCGCUGUGAAGAUGCAGUGUACCCGCGGCAAGACGGAAAGACCCCGUGAACCUUUACUAUAGCUUGACACUGAACAUUGAGCCUUGAUGUGUAGGAUAGGUGGGAGGCUUUGAAGUGUGGACGCCAGUCUGCAUGGAGCCGACCUUGAAAUACCACCCUUUAAUGUUUGAUGUUCUAACGUUGACCCGUGAUCCGGGUUGCGGACAGUGUCUGGUGGGUAGUUUGACUGGGGCGGUCUCCUCCUAAAGAGUAACGGAGGAGCACGAAGGUUGGCUAAUCCUGGUCGGACAUCAGGAGGUUAGUGCAAUGGCAUAAGCCAGCUUGACUGCGAGCGUGACGGCGCGAGCAGGUGCGAAAGCAGGUCAUAGUGAUCCGGUGGUUCUGAAUGGAAGGGCCAUCGCUCAACGGAUAAAAGGUACUCCGGGGAUAACAGGCUGAUACCGCCCAAGAGUUCAUAUCGACGGCGGUGUUUGGCACCUCGAUGUCGGCUCAUCACAUCCUGGGGCUGAAGUAGGUCCCAAGGGUAUGGCUGUUCGCCAUUUAAAGUGGUACGCGAGCUGGGUUUAGAACGUCGUGAGACAGUUCGGUCCCUAUCUGCCGUGGGCGCUGGAGAACUGAGGGGGGCUGCUCCUAGUACGAGAGGACCGGAGUGGACGCAUCACUGGUGUUCGGGUUGUCAUGCCAAUGGCACUGCCCGGUAGCUAAAUGCGGAAGAGAUAAGUGCUGAAAGCAUCUAAGCACGAAACUUGCCCCGAGAUGAGUUCUCCCUGACUCCUUGAGAGUCCUGAAGGAACGUUGAAGACGACGACGUUGAUAGGCCGGGUGUGUAAGCGCAGCGAUGCGUUGAGCUAACCGGUACUAAUGAACCGUGAGGCUUAACCUUACAACGCCGAAGGUGUUU
rnacentral:rRNA from 1 species